rnacentral:rRNA from 1 species
GGGGAAUAUUGGACAAUGGGGGGAACCCUGAUCCAGCCAUGCCGCGUGUGUGAAGAAGGCCUUUUGGUUGUAAAGCACUUUAAGCGAGGAGGAGGCUACCUAGAUUAAUACUUUAGGAUAGUGGACGUUACUCGCAGAAUAAGCACCGGCUAACUCUGUGCCAGCAGCCGCGGUAAUACAGAGGGUGCGAGCGUUAAUCGGAUUUACUGGGCGUAAAGCGUGCGUAGGCGGCCAAUUAAGUCAAAUGUGAAAUCCCCGAGCUUAACUUGGGAAUUGCAUUCGAUACUGGUUGGCUAGAGUAUGGGAGAGGAUGGUAGAAUUCCAGGUGUAGCGGUGAAAUGCGUAGAGAUCUGGAGGAAUACCGAUGGCGAAGGCAGCCAUCUGGCCUAAUACUGACGCUGAGGUGCGAAAGCAUGGGGAGCAAACAGG